rnacentral:rRNA from 1 species
AGGGCCGCAUACGAGGAGAUACUAGGGGCUGUUGAACGCGGUGAUGGGGGUGUAUUCUUUGUUGAUGGCCCUGGAGGUACAGGUAAGACCUUCCUAUAUAGGGCGAUGCUUGCCAAGGUGAGGAGCCAGGGCAAGAUUGGUAUCGCUACUGCGACGUCCGGCGUCGCCGCUUCUAUCAUGCCUGGCGGCAGGACUGCCCACUCGAGGUUCAAGAUCCCAUUGAGUUGCGAUGAUGGAGCCUCGUGCAGCUUCACCAAGCAGAGUGGGACCGCCAAGCUGCUACGGAUGGCCUCAUUGAUAAUACGGGACGAGGCCAGCAUGACGAAGCGACAAGCGGUUGAGGCAUUGGAUAAUAGCAUGCGCGACAUCAUGGGAAUACGCGACCGACCCUUUGGAGGAAAGACUGUAGUAUUUGGCGGGGACUUUAGGCAGGUUCUUCCGGUCGUCAGAAGGGGGUCGCGGGGCCAGAUAAUUGAUGCAACCCUCCGAAGUUCUCAUCUAUGGAAGGGUAUGCGGCAGCUUCGGCUCAUCACCAACAUGAGGGCUCAUAAUGACACAUGGUUUGCCGAUUACUUACUAAGGGUCGGCAAUGGCACUGAGGAUGUCGACGAUCAAGGCAACAUAGUACUCCCAGAAGAUAUUUGUCUGCCGUCUACAGGCGAGGUUGACGACCCAGAGAAGCUUAUUGAGCACGUAUUUCUGAGUCUAGACGACAACAUGGCUGAUUCGAAUUACAUGACAUCUCGAGCAAUCCUUUCCACAACAAACGACAAUGUAGACAAGAUAAACAUCCGCAUGAUAGAGCGUUUUCAUGGAGAUGAAGUAAUCUACCAUAGCUUUGACAGUGCGGAGGAUGACCCAUAUGGCUACUAUGCUCAGGAGUUUCUGAAUGGAUUGACUCCUAACAGUCUCCCUCCGCAUGCUCUCAAGCUAAAGCUGAAUUGCCCUGUCAUACUUCUAAGGAACAUUGAUCCAGCUAAUGGUCUGUGUAAUGGCACUAGGCUUGUUGUAAGAGGUUUUGAGAGGAACACCGUUGAUGCAGAAAUCGUGAUUGGACAACACACUGGCAGGAGGGUCUUCCUUCCUCGAAUACCUCUCCGCCCAUCUGAAAAUGACAUGUUUCCGUUCAAGUUUAAGAGGAAGCAAUUUCCUAUAAGGCUUAGCUUUGCUAUGACCAUUAACAAGGCUCAAGGGCAGACUAUCCCGAUUGUUGGUGUGUACCUACCCAAUCCCGUGUUCUCACAUGGUCAGCUCUAUGUUGCUUUAUCUCGAGCCACCGUGAAGAGAAACAUAAAGAUACUCAUUCAGAAGGAGAAGCCGAAGGAGAAGACCAACAAGCAUAAGGACAAUACAAAGAAGCGAAAAAGAACGACCGUGUCCUUACUGACCUCGAUGAAGAACAUCGUCUACAAGGAAGUCCUU